GCUAACGAGCAUAUCAUGCUGAUCACACCAGUUCUCGUCCGAUCACUGAAGUUAAGCAGCAUUGAGCGCGGCUAGUACUUGGAUGGGGGUGACCGCUUGGGAACCCCGCGUCUCGUUAGCU